UUAUAUUUACUAAAUCUCGUCUUUUACAAAUGACUAAUUAAACUAAUACACUAAUCAUAGUUCCAAUUCUUGAUAAAAUCUAUUUAUAUAUGUCCAAGUGUUCACUCUACCUCUCUUUUUCCAUAUUUCUCCAUUGCCGGUCAAAUAAUUUUCUUCCUCUUGCUUUUUGAUUCAUUUUCAAAGAAACUUCCCAAAAUUUCGUUCUAAUAUCUUUAUGAAAAACCCAAUCUUUCAACCCUUUUUUUGGUUCUUUCAAAUCAAGCAAAAAGGAGAUAUUGAAUCCCUCUCCAAAAAUCUUCCAACAUGUUCAUUCAUCGACUCCUUCUUCCUUCAAUAUUCAUAGUUUGCUGCCUCACAACGCUUACAGAUGGAGCUACAGUUCCAGAUGAUGAAGUGGAAGCUUUGAGAAGUAUUAGUAGGACAUUGGGGAAGACAGACUGAAACUUUGAUAUUGAUCCAUGCAGUAGAGGCAAUAGUUGGUUGGACCAACCCACACGUUAUUAUGCUAAUAAUGUUACUUGUGAUUGCUCCUUCAACAAUAACACUACCUGCCAUGUCAUCCAUAUGUAAGCAUAUAUAUAUAUAGAUAUAUCUUAUAAUAAAAGCUUAUCUACCAUUGAGUUGUGACUAAA